rnacentral:rRNA from 1 species
UCCGGUUGAUCCUGCCGGACCUGACUGCUAUCGGAUUGGUACUAAGCCAUGCGAGUCAUUGUAGCAAUACAAGGCGGACGGCUCAGUAACACGUAGUCAACCUAACUCGUGGACGUGGAUAACCUCGGGAAACUGAGAAUAAACCACGAUAGAUCAUAGUGCCUGGAAUGGCUUAUGGUCCAAACAGUUUACUGCCAUGGGAUGGGACUGCGGCCUAUCAGCUUGUUGGUGAGGUAAUGGCCCACCAAGGCGAUUACAGGUACGGGCUCUGAGAGGAGAAGCCCGGAGAUGGGUACUGAGACACGGACCCAGGCCCUAUGGGGCGCAGCAGGCGAGAAACCUUAGCAAUGUGCGAAAGCACGACUGGGUCAGUCCGAGUGAUUCCUGAUAAAGGAGUCUUUUGCCUGUCCUAAAAGCACAGGUGAAUAAGGGGUGGGCAAGUCUGGUGUCAGCCGCCGCGGUAAUACCAGCACCUCGAGUGGUCAGGACGUUUAUUGGGCCUAAAGCAUCCGUAGCCGGCUCUGCAAGUCUUCGGUUAAAUCCACCUGCUCAACAGAUGGGCCGCUGGAGAUACUACAGAGCUAGGGAGUGGGAGAGGCAGACGGUAUUCAGUGGGUAGGGGUAAAAUCCUCUGAUCCAUUGAGGACCACCAGUGGCGAAAGCGGUCUGCCAGAACACGUUCGACGGUGAGGGAUGAAAGCUGGGGGAGCAAACCGGAUUAGAUACCCGGGUAGUCCCAGCUGUAAACGAUGCAAACUCGGUGAUGCAUUGGCUUAUGGCCAAUGCAGUGCCGCAGGGAAGCCGUUAAGUUUGCCGCCUGGGAAGUACGGACGCAAGUCUGAACUUAAAGGAAUUGGCGGGGGAGCACAA